rnacentral:rRNA from 1 species
AUUGAACGCUGGCGGCAGGCCUAACACAUGCAAGUCGAGCGGAGCGGCGGACGGGUGAGUAAUGCCUAGGAAACUGCCUGGUAGUGGGGGAUAACGUCCGGAAACGGGAGCUAAUAUCGCAUACUAUCAGAUCAGCCUAGGUCUGAUUAGCUAGUUGGUGGGGUAACGGCCUACCAAGGAGACGAUCCGUAACUGGUCUGCGAGGAUGAACAGUCACACGGGAACUGAGACACGGUCCAGACUCCUACGGGAGGCAGCAGUGGGGAAUAUUGGACAAUGGGCGAAAGCCUGAUCCAGCCAUGCCGCGUGUUUGAAGAAGGUCUUCGGAUUUUAAAGCACUUUUAGUUGGGAGGCGUUACCAACAGAAUAAGCACCGGCUAACUUCGUGCCAGCCGCCGCGGUAAUAC